CCCGAGGCGCACUGCUCAGUAACACGUGGAGAAUCUGCCCUUAGGUGAGGAAUAACCUUGGGAAACUGAGAAUAAUACCUCAUAGGUUAUGGAUGCUGGAAUGCUUCAUAGCCCAAAGCCCCGGCGCCUAAGGAUGACUCUGCGGACUAUCAGGUAGUAGUCAGGGUAACGACCUGACUAGCCUACGACGGAUACGGGGUGUGAGAGCACUACCCCGGAGAUGGAUUCUGAGACACGAAUCCAGGCCCUACGGGGUGCAGCAGGCGCGAAACUUCCGCAAUGCUCGCCAGAGUGACGGAGGGAUUCCAAGUGCCUAUGCUAUGCGUAGGCUGUUUUCAUGUCUAAAUAACAUGGAGAGUAAGAG
rnacentral:rRNA from 1 species